GAUCCUGGCUCAGAGCGAACGCUGGCGGCAGGCUUAACACAUGCAAGUCGAGCGGGCGUAGCAAUACGUCAGCGGCAGACGGGUGAGUAACGCGUGGGAACGUACCUUUUGGUUCGGAACAACCCAGGGAAACUUGGGCUAAUACCGGAUAAGCCCUUACGGGGAAAGAUUUAUCGCCGAAAGAUCGGCCCGCGUCUGAUUAGCUAGUUGGUGAGGUAAUGGCUCACCAAGGCGACGAUCAGUAGCUGGUCUGAGAGGAUGAUCAGCCACAUUGGGACUGAGACACGGCCCAAACUCCUACGGGAGGCAGCAGUGGGGAAUAUUGGACAAUGGGCGCAAGCCUGAUCCAGCCAUGCCGCGUGAGUGAUGAAGGCCCUAGGGUUGUAAAGCUCUUUUGUGCGGGAAGAUAAUGACGGUACCGCAAGAAUAAGCCCCGGCUAAGUUCGUGCCAGCAGCCGCGGUAAUACGAAGGGGGCUAGCGUUGCUCGGAAUCACUGGGCGUAAAGGGUGCGUAGGCGGGUCUUUAAGUCAGGGGUGAAAUCCUGGAGCUCAACUCCAGAACUGCCUUUGAUACUGAAGAUCUUGAGUUCGGGAGAGGUGAGUGGAACUGCUAGUGUAGAGGUGAAAUUCGUAGAUCUUCUCAAGAACACCAGUGGCGAACGCCGCUCAAUGGCCCGAUACUGACGCUGAGGCACGAAACCCUGCGGAGCAAACAGGAUUAGAUACCCUGGUAGUCCACGCGGUAAACCAUCCAUGCCAGCCGUUAUUGUGUUUAAUCACUAGUGGCGCAGCUGACGCU
rnacentral:rRNA from 1 species